CUUGACGACCAUAGAACAUUGGAACCACCUGAUCCCAUCCCGAACUCAGCAGUGAAACGAUGUAUCGCCGAUGGUAGUGUGGGG
rnacentral:rRNA from 1 species